CAAUAGCGUAUAUUAAAGUUGUUGCGGUUAAAAGCUCGUAGUUGGAGUUCUGCCAGGUGCCGCCUGUCCGCCCAGCUGGUGAGUACGUGGCGCGCAUUUGGCCCUUUCAAGGGGAGCGUAUCUGCACUUUAUUGUGUGGUGCGGGAUCCUUGACUUUUACUUUGAGGAAAUAGAGUGUUCCAGCAAGGCUCUCGUCGUGCACAGCUCAGCAUGGAAUAAUAGCAUUGGACCUCGAUUCUAAGCUGUUGGUUGCCAGAAGCGAGGUAAUGAUGAAGAGGGAUAGUUGGGGCGAUUCGUAUUUAACUGUCAGAGGUGAAAAUUCUUGGAUUUGUUAAAAGACGGACUACUGCGAAAAGCAUCUGCCAUGGAUGUUUUCAUUGAUCAAAGAACGAAAAGUUAGGGGAUCGAAGACGAUCAGAU
rnacentral:rRNA from 1 species